CCGGGGGGCCGGGCAGCCGCGUCAUUCCGCAUGGAAUGCCGAGGAAAGUCCGGGCUCCACGAAACAAGGGUGGCGGGUAACGCCCGCCGGUCUGCCUCUCGGGGCGGAUCAGGGACAGUGCCACAGAGAGCAGACCGCCGAUGGCCCGUCAAAAGGCACAGGCAAGGGUGAAAGGGUGCGGUAAAAGCGCACCGCGCGACCGGCAACGGAAGCGGCACGGCAAACCCCACCCGGAGCAAGGCCGAAUAGGGACGGCGCGUCCGGCCGAAAUCCUUCGGGACAAGGCGCAGGGCAGGGGCGUUUCGCCCCGUGAUCGUCCGGGUUGGCUGCUGGAGCGCUGUGGCAACGCAGCGCCGAGAUGAAUGGCUGCCGGCGAGGAUACGGUGUCGCUUUGGCAUACCGUCCGCGUCACAGAACCCGGCUUACAGGCCCCUCGGUGCA
rnacentral:RNase_P_RNA from 1 species